CAGCAGCCACGGGAAUACGAAGGGUGCAAGCGUUAAUCGGAAUUACUGGGCGUAAAGCGUGCGUAGGCGGUGAGUUAAGUCUGCUGUGAAAUCCCCGGGCUCAACCUGGGAAUGGCAGUGGAUACUGGCUCGCUAGAGUGUGUCAGAGGAUGGUGGAAUUCCCGGUGUAGCGGUGAAAUGCGUAGAGAUCGGGAGGAACAUCAGUGGCGAAGGCGGCCAUCUGGGACAACACUGACGCUGAGGCACGAAAGCGUGGGGAGCAAACAGGAUUAGAUACCCCCGUAGUCCCUGUCUCUUAUAU
rnacentral:rRNA from 1 species